GAUGAACGCUGGCGGCGUGCUUAAUACAUGCAAGUCGAGCGGACAGACGAUGAUCUUGCUCUUCUGACGUUACCGACGGGCGGGUGAGUAGCACGUGGAUAACCUUCCUAUAAGGCUUGGACAAGUGCGAGAAACUGGAGCUAAUACCGGGUAAUAUAUUUAGCGGGAUGGUUCGAUAGUUAAAUACGUGUUUGCUGUCACUGAUAGCUGUAUGCUCGCCGCAUUAGCUAGUUGGUAAGGUAACGGCUUACUAAGGCGACGAUGCGUAGCCGAACUGACAGGGUGUAGGGCGACACUGGAAGUGAGCGACGGUACAGAGUCCUACGGGAGGCAGAAGUAGGGACUCGUCGGAACUGGGCGGAAGCCUGACGGAGCAACGCAGCGUGGGUGCUGAAAGUCUUCGGAUCGUAAGACUCUGUUAUUAGGGAAGAACACAUGCGUAAGUGACUAUGCACGUCUUGACGGUACCUAGUCAGAAAGCCACGGCUAACUACGUG
rnacentral:rRNA from 1 species